rnacentral:rRNA from 1 species
AUACGGAGGGUGCAAGCGUUAAUCGGAAUUACUGGGCGUAAAGCGUACGUAGGCGGUUAAGUCAGUCAGAUGUGAAAGCCCUGGGCUCAACCUGGGAACUGCAUUUGAUACUGCUUGGCUAGAAUAUGUUAGAGGGAAGUGGAAUUCCGGGUGUAGCGGUGAAAUGCGUAGAUAUCCGGAGGAACACCAGUGGCGAAGGCGGCUUCCUGGACCAAUAUUGACGCUGAGGUACGAAAGCGUGGGUAGCAAACAGAAUUAGAUACCCCAGUAGUCC